GCUUUUUAAAAAAUUUUAGGUGGCACUAUGGAGUCAGUUUGGAACAUUUAUUGAAGAGAGCUAUGGAACUGGAAAGAAUACAUCACAUUGGAAGCGUGUGCCAAAUUUCAUGACUUUUUGACCUUUCCAAGCAUAUUAAAAAAUACUUUCUGAUUCAAGGAAAAUCGCAAUGCCACCAGGGUGCGCCAUUUAAUAAAGUCACAAUUUUUACACUAAGGCAGGGGUAGGCAACUCCAGGCCUCGAGUGCGGUUGUCCUGCAGGUUUUAGAUGUGUCCUUGAUCCAAUGCAGCUGAUUCAAAUUGCUAAAUUACCUACUUAACAUGUCUUGAAGUUCUCAAGAGGCCUGGUAAUGAACUAAUCAUUUGAUCCAAGUGUGUUGACCCAGGCUGAGAUCUAAAACCUGCAGGACAUCGGCCCUCGAGACCAGGAGUUGCUCACCCCUGCACUAAGGCAUCAUCAGUGUCUGAUGUUUAUUAUGAGCACUUUUGAGGUGAAAAUGAUCAACCUGGGAGAAGUACAAUAAGUACAUUUACAUAAUGAUUGAAACGAGCACCACUGCUGAACAACAGGAUGUGAGGCACUCUUCCCAGCUUUUCUAGGGGAAUACCAGAGUGUUCCCAAGCUAGCCAGGAGUUCAAGGCAUUAAUCCCGCCCCAAAACGUCCCAGAUCUUAAUCAGAACAAGAACCCACAGGAUGUGGCACAAGACCAAGGCCUCACCCUGCAACACAAAGGAUCUACAUCCAGGCUACCAACCAAAGGACACCUCAGAUGCUUUGUGUCUUGAUCAGUGCUUACAAAAUAGUAAUACUGGAUUUUUUUCAUGUUUUGGCAGUGUACAACCCUGCAUAUCUACUGUCUAAAUUGCCUAGAUACCUAGAUUGUCUUCCAAAUAACUGUAAGAAAAUUUGAUGUUAUUUAAUAUGUACCUUCUUAUUUGUAGUAUAAUGAGAUAGAAGAUCAGGUUAGUCUUCCUUAAACAGCAAUGAAAAACGGAAUGAUUAGCACACAUUAAAGACUAAAAAUGUGAAAUUGAAACAAUGUUUCUUUUUAAGUGGGGCCCAGUGGAGCCUGUAGAUGAUGCUUACACUCCAGGCACAUCUCUGCAAAGCAAAC
ensembl:lncRNA